AACACAGAAUAUUUAUAUUCCUUGUGUAAACAUAAUUUAAUUGAUUAGGAUUAAAAUGUUUUGUUUGAAUGUAAAAUGAACACAUUAUUCUCACAUUGAUUAAAAUUGAUUGAAUUGAAUACUUAAAACAAUAAAAUUGGGUUUGGACACAAAACGGCACCUCCUGAGCAGCAGGGGCAGUAUAGCUCAUUGAGAAGGACAUCGAUUGCCAUAAAAGAAGAAUAAAGAUCGUUUUUUUGGGCGCCAAAAUGAAGACUACAGUAAGCACAGCAGUCACUGCCAGUCAGUCAGAAGAACUCUCUCAGACGGACACCACGUUAUUAAAGUCCAUCAUCCUUGCAUGCGCUACACAGCAUUGAUAAAUGCUGAAUUUGAAAGAAUCACUACUGUCUUAUGUUCCUGCGUGUCACCUGGACCUCCAAUCCAAAAACCUGAUGAAACUCUUCUAUCAGAAAGGAGGACAGCUAGCAAAAAGGCUUCAAACAAUCAAUGAUCAAAUGACAGAUGGCAUGGAUGAAGUCAGCAUCAGUGAGGUCAUUUGAAGACACCAAUGUUGGGAUUUGUGCUCUCAAACAACCUGCUUCUUGUGAUGAAGAAGAGGAUCUUUGUAUAGUCCUGGAAGGCAUGAAGGUGUUGCAACAUCGUGCCAUGUUGUUUGAGCUGAUGUAUGCCUUAAACCUGAGCUAUCCUGAUCUCCGCUUUAUUUUUGAGGAAAUCCAAAAGAUUUUAAUGGAACUGCAUUGAGAGUAACUUUAACGAACAGUUUCUUUCAGUGAAAGGAUCAGAAAGACUGUGCUGCUCAUUUUUGACUUUGUUUAUCUGUUUUAAGUGUUUUCUCUUAUUAAUACAUCAACCGUUUGCUGCUCAUAGUCGAUUUUGGAAAUGGUUGUUGUAUUUUGUUUUUGUUGAAUCUAUGAUUAACAGUUUAUACAAAUGCUGUAGCUCUGACUUUCUGAAGGAUUGAUAUUUUCCAGUUUGUAAAUCCAUUUUAAAAAUAAUAGUACUUACUGUUUUGCAUGUCUCUUUGGAAUGCAGUGUUUGUGUUUUAGCACUUCUAAAUCUACUGUGAUAGUAACUAUUUUAAACAUUUGGGUCAGUUUCAUCCUAAUAUAACUAGGGCCUAGUCAUGAAUUAAUCUACAACCUGUUUGGGAAAUUGCCCCUUUAUGUAUGUACUGCAUGUGCUGAUUGUUGUAAUAGUUAUUGACUGUUAUUGAAUUAAUGUGUAGUGAUUUAAAUGAAUUGAUGAUCUGAAAGUAGUGGUUUGCCUCAAUAUCACUAAACAUUUGUACAAAACUCUUCACUUUUUAUGCCAAUGCAAAUGUAUUUUGUAUUUAAAAAGAAAUAAAUAACAUUUGGAUAAUUAUGGGUGAUUAUUCUGGUGCCAGAGACAUAAUGAAAUUGCUUUAGAGUUACAUAAUCCCAUAAUAUAAGCAUUAAAAAAGCAUGUUGGAAUUACAGAUGAAAAUCUAGUCCCCUUACAUAAUUAAAUUACUUAAACAUUACAAAAUAAAUGUGUUAUAGUAAAGAGAAAUAUCACUUUGAGUCAACAUAUUUGUAUUAGACUACUUAAAAUAAUUAAAAUGUUUUGGUCUGACACAUAAAAAUUAUUUGAGGAAAAUUAUUUUGGUUUUAAACAAUCGGAUCAUGUGGGACCGAUGUACACAUUAAAAUUACGUAAAUUGAAAGGAUUUUUUUUUU